rnacentral:rRNA from 1 species
GUACACUCCUACGGGAGGCAGCAGUAGGGAAUCUUCCACAAUGGGUGCAAACCUGAUGGAGCAAUGCCGCGUGAGUGAAGAAGGUCUUCGGAUCGUAAAGCUCUGUUGUUAGAGAAGAACACGUGCUAGGUAACUACUAGCGCCUUGACGGUAUCUAACCAGAAAGUCACGGCUAACUACGUGCCAGCAGCCGCGGUAAUACGUAGGUGACAAGCGUUGUCCGGAUUUAUUGGGCGUAAAGGGAGCGCAGGCGGUCUGUUUAGUCUAAUGUGAAAGCCCACGGCUUAACCGUGGAACGGCAUUGGAAACUGACAGACUUGAAUGUAGAAGAGGAAAAUGGAAUUCCAAGUGUAGCGGUGGAAUGCGUAGAUAUUUGGAGGAACACCAGUGGCGAAGGCGAUUUUCUGGUCUAACAUUGACGCUGAGGCUCGAAAGCGUGGGGAGCGAACAGGAUUAGAAACCCCUGUAGUCCC